AUAUCAUUCAUUGCCCUUCUCUCUUCAUAUACAGUGCCACAUUGCAACUCCUCUGCAGAUGUACCUGAUCUGUAAGUCUUUCCUAUGCAUUUUAGAACUUACUGUCUUAUUGUCAGUUCUCUGGACUAGAGGGAGUUUCCCUGGGCCUACUUGUUGAUUCCUGUCCUUGAAUUUGAGGCAUUUGCCACCAGGUGGCAGUAGCAGAAGGAGUCAUCCUAUUUGAAUUGACAAUGAAGAUGCUUAGACCUGUACUGAUCCAGCACUAUCUUCUAUUUUUUUAAAAAUGAGAGAAUGUGUGUGUGUGUGUGUGUGUGUGUAAUAUAGAUAAUAUAUGUAUAUAUAUUAUACACAAAUAUAUACAGUGUAUAUAUAUUUAUUAUAUAUUUGUUUAAAAAGUCUAGGAAGCUCUAAGAUAUGAUUUAAUAAAUAUUGUGUUAGAAACUUAAGAAUAACUAGAAAAAGGAAAAUAAAACAACUUGAUAUUUUUCAUUCUUUAUUUACAAGUUUAAUUAGAAUCACAGAGUAUGGGUGCAUUUAAUGUUGAAUGAAAAUAAUUGUUUUGUGUAGAGAGUUUCUGCCUUCUUGAAAACAAGAAAAUGUGUGCCCCAGUUUGGGCCUGUAAGAAGAAAAGUGUCACUAUGGUUAUGGUAUGAUCAUUCCUGUGCUGACUGCAAAGGGUGCAACACUGUUCCUCAGAAUCAUUAGUAAAGUAAACAUUUAUUUUUUCCUCCUGUGACCAUAUGAACAGACUUUAGAAUCUAUUAAGGCAGUAUCUGCAGUUAUUUAAGAAAACAGUCACCUCAGUAGAUUUUAAUAAUUCUAUUUAAUUUAGUUGAGGGGAAGAAGGGCUUUCUCAUGUGGACAAUGUUAAAAUCCUGCCCAAUUCCAAGCCCACAAUUUAAUACUGGAUUAUGGCCAUCUUUGCAGAAAGCCUGCAUAGGACCAGUCUCAGUGGUGUACGCCUGUUAUUCCAGUGGCUCACAAGGCUGAGGCAGGAGGAUCACAAGUUUAAAGCUAGUCUCAGCAAUUUAGAGACCCUGAGCAACUUGUUGGGGCCUCGUGGCUCAGUGGUAAAGUGCUCCUGGGUUCAAUACCCAGUUUCUUCCACCCCCACCCCCACAAAAAAAGCAUGCAGAGGGAUUUUCUUUUAACAUCAAUCCUGGACCCUAGGAUCCAGUGGGGGAAGGAGACAGAGUAGGCACUUCCUUUCAUUGCUUUUGGUGUUGAAGUGAAAGUGAGCACAGAAAUAAAAUUGCUACAUGUGUAAAGUCAAAGGCCAUAUUUCUUACCUUCUGUAGGACCUUUAGGAGAGUAUCUAUUGAAGCCUUCUCUGGUUUCUACUUAGUAUUUUAUAUAUUUGCCUGUAAAAGUAAUUUAGGCUAUUAGUUCUCUGGCUGUUCUUGAAGUGGGACACACUGUUUUUUUUUUUUUUUUUGUCUCAAAACUGUACUUGCACUUCUAGAAGCAGAGCCAAACUCUGAGCAGUAAAGAGAAAUAGCUUAGCUAUGGGGGAAUUAAUCUUUUUAAUUAAAAUAUUUCUAGGAACUAAUUAAGAAACCUUAGCUGUGUCUUAAGAUUUCUUAAUUACUUCUUGGGAAUUUUAAAAUUUGUUCUUUAAUUAGUUAUAUGUGACAGUAGAAUAUAUGUUGACAUAUAUUUUAGUCAGCUUUUUCACUGCUGUAACUAAAGGAUCUGACUAGCACAAUGGAAGGUGAGAAAAAGUUUAUUUGAGGGCUCACGGUUUCAGAGAUCUUAGUCCAGAGAAGGCCCACUCUCUUCCUCAGGGCUUGAGGUGAGGCAUAACAUCAUGGCGAAGUGUGAGGCAGAGAGAAGCAGCUCACAUCAUAGUGGUCAAGAAACAGAAAGAGAGAGAGACUCCAGCGCCAGAUACAAAAUAUAUAUCCCAUAGCCACGCUCCCAAUUAACCACCUUCUCCAGCCACACCCCAUCUGCCUCUAGUUACCAUUCAGUUAAUCCCAUCAGGGAUUAAUUCACUGAUUGGAUUAAGACUUUUACAGUCAAAUAAUCUCUCUGAACCUUCUUGCAUUGUCUCACACAUGAGCUUUUGGGGAACACCUCACAUCCAAACCACAACAUAUUAUACAUAUAUGGAGUAUAACUUCCCAUUCCUCUGAUUGUACAUGGUGUGAAUUAUAUUGGUCAUGUAUUCAUAUAUGUAUAUAGGAAAUUAAUGUCUGAUUCAUUCUAUAUAUCUUUCCUAUUUCCAUUACCAACCCUUCUAUUCUUUCCUCACCUCCCCUUAUUGUAUGUUAGCAUCUGCAUAUCAGAGAGAACAUUUGGCUUUUGAGGUUUUGGAGAUUGGCUUAUUUCACUUAAUAUGACAUUCUCCAAUUCUAUCCAUUUACUGGCAAAUGCCAUAAUUUCAUUCUCCUUUAUGGCAGACUAAUAUUCCAUUGUGUAUAUAUACCACAUUUAAAAAAUCUGUUCAUCUGUUCAAGGGCACCUAGGUUGGUUCCAUAGCUUAGCUAUUAUGACUUUACCUGCUAUAAAUAUUGAUGUGGCUGUCACUGUAACAUGUUGAUUUUUAAGUCUUUUUAAGUGAUUUUAAGUCUAAACUGAGGAGUAGAAUAACUGAGUCAAAUCAUGGUUCUAUUCCAGGCUUUCUGAGGAAUCUGCAUACUGCUUUCCAGAGUGUUUGAAACAAUUUGCGUCCCACCAGCAAUGUAUGAGUGUACCUUUCCACCCACAUUCUCGCGAACAUUUUUUGUUAUUUGUAUUCUUGAUAAUUGGAGAUGAAAUCUGAGUGUUGUUUUAAUUUUCAUUUCUCUAAUUGAUAGAGAUGAUGAACAUUUUUCUCAUAUAUUUGUUGACUGAUCAUAUUUCUUCUUCUGUGAAGUAUCUGUUCAGUUCCUUUGCCCAUGUAUUGAUUGGGUUAUUUUAUUUUUUUGGUGUUAAGUUUUUUGAGUUCUUUAUAUAUCCUGGAGAUUAAUGCUUGAUCUGAGGUGCAGGAGGCAAAGAUUUUCUCCCAUUAUAUAGGCUCUCUUUUCCCAUUGUUGAUUGUUUCCUUUGUGAAGAAGCUUUUUAGUUUGAUACCAUCCCACUUACUGAUUCCUGAUUUUACUUUUUUCACUUUAGGAGUCUUGUUGAAGAAUUCAGUUCCUAAGCUGACAUGAUGGUGAUUUGGGCCUCCUUUUCCUUCUAGUAGGUGCAGGGUCUCUGGUCUAAUGCCUAGGUCCUUGAUCCACUUUGAAUAGAAAUGGUGAAAGAGGGCAUCCUUGUGUUUCUCCGUUUUUAGUGGGAAUGCUUUCAAUUUUUCUCCAUUUAGAAUGAUGUUGGCCUUGGGUUUAGCAUAUAUAGCUUUUAUGAUGUUGAGGUAUGUCCUACUAUCUCUACUUUUUAUAGUGUUUUGAACAUGAAGGGGUGCUAUAUUUUGUCAAAUGCUUUUUUUGCAUCUAUUGAGAUGAUCAUAUGAUUCUUGUCUUUAGAUCUAUUGAUGUGAUGAAUUAUGUUUAUUGAUUUCUGUAUGUUGAGCCUACUUUGCAUCCCUGGGAUGAACCCCACUUGAUCAUGUUGCACUACCUUUUUCUAGGCAAUGUACCAAUAUUUUAUUAAGAAUUUUUGCAGCUAUUCCCACAUGAUGGAGAUUAGGGCCUAUUUUUUCUUCUAUUAGAUGCAGGAUCUCUAAUUUUAUUCUUAAGUCCUUGAUACAUUUUGAGUUGAUUUUGUGCAUGGUAUGAGAUAGGGGUCUAAUUUCACUUUGUUGCAUAUGGAUUUCCAAGCACCAUUUAUUGAAGAAGCUAUCUUUUUUCCAUUGCAUGUUUUUGGCACCUUUGUCUAAUAUAAGAUAAUUGUAAUAUAGUGGGUUAGUCUCUGUGUCCUCUAUUCUGUACCAUUGGUCUACCACUCUGUUUUGGUGCCAAUACUAUGCUGUUUUUGUUACUAUUGCUCUGUAGUAUAGUUUAAGGUCUGGUAUAGUGAUGUCACCUGCUUCACUCUUCCUGCUAAGGAUUGCUUUAGCUAUUCUGGGUCUCUUAUUUUUCCAGAUGAAUUUCAUGAUUGCUUUUUCUAUUUCUAUGAGGAAUGUCAUUGGGAUUUUGAUUGGAAUUGCAUUAAAUCUGCUCAUCAGGGAUAUUGAUGAAAUUUUCUUUCCUUGAUGUGUUUUCAUCUGAUUUUGAUAGCAGGGUAAUACUAGCUUCAUAGAAUGAGUUUAUAAGGGUUAUCUCCUUUUUCUAUUUUGUGGAAUAAUUUGAGGAGGAUUGUUGUUAGUUUUUCUUUGAAGUUCUGGUAGAACUCAGCUGGGAAUCUAUCUGUUCCUGGGCUUUUCUUUGUUGGUUUGAAGUUGUCUCCAAUUUCAUUGCUUGAAAUUUAUCUGUUUAAAUAGUCUAUGUACUCCUGAUUUAAUUUGGAUAGGUCAUAUGUCUCUAGAAAUUUGUCAUCAUCUUCAAGAUUUUUUGUUUUAUUGGAGUAUAAAUUUUCAAAAGAGUUUCUGAUUGUUAUCUGUAUUUCAAUAAUGUAAGCACUCCUUUCAUUACAUCCUACAUCUUUUGAUAAUAUAUUGUUUAAGUCUCCUUCAGUUAAAAUAUUUUUUAAAUAUUUAAAAAUUUUCUUGAGAUUUUUUUCUUUGACUCAUGUAUUAUUUAUUAGAAGUGUAUUGUUUAAUCUCCAAAUACACUGGGAUUUUCCAGUUAUGUUUCUAAAUUGAUUUCUAGUUCAAUUUAUUUGUGGUCUGAAAGCAGACAUUGUUAUUUUUACUUUAAAAAAUUUGCCAAUAUAUAUUUUAUUGUCCAGAAUGUGGUCUUUCUUUGUUAAUCCCCCCAUUUCCUACUUCCAUCCAUAUUGUUUCUUUGAAAAACCAUCUUAACCCACUUAAUGUAUAAUAUAUGUUAUGUUUGUUUUUUUUAUGUUAAAUUUGCUUUUUCUGGGAUUGUUAGCAUGUAAAUUAAUUUUUCAAUUAAUCAAUUAUUACUUUUUUGAGGCAAGUUCUCACUAUGUUGCUUAGGCUGGUCUUUAACUCCUGAGCUCAAGUGAUAUUUGGUCUUGUACAGCUGGGACUGCAUGCUUGUGUCACAGUGCCUGGUAUUGCAUAUCAUUAUUUCACUGCAUAUAAUUUUAAUAUUUAUAUAAACAAUAUUGUAUUUUACUUCUUUCUUGCUUUUCUCACUAAACACCAUAACUCUAAGCUACAUUACUUAUAGGUAAUUCUAUUGAUGCAAUGUCUUCAAUACAAUUGAUCUAUUUACUUUACCAAUGGUGGACACAUAGUUUAUCUCUGAUUUUCUUUCAAUAAAAACAGUGUAUAUCUUUUUACAUGACCUCUACUGGGACUGAGAAUGCUUUUGGGGUCCAUGCCCCAGUCAGAAAUUGCCAGGUCCUGUGGAAACAUAGACUUAUUUCUUGUUAAGUAAUGUCUUCCUGCUUUACAGAACAGCCACAGUUCAUGAGGGUUCUUAAAUCCCAACCUCCUCAGUAAUGCAUGUUAUCACCAAGCUUUUUAAUUUUUGCCAGGCUUAUAGAUGUAAGAAGAUAUUUCACUGUUUUAAUUUGCACUUCUAUGUUUAGCAAUUGGUUUGAGAACCUGUUAAUGUGAUUGGUGGUACUUCAGGCCUUUUCUUCCAUAAAUUGAAUGUUCUACAUGCCUUUUCCAUUUUUUUUUUUCUGAUAAUGUUGAUGUCUUUUUUGGGGGGCAGGCCCAAAAUGGCUAAAAUUAGGCUCCCUUGCUGAGGCUUUAGGCAGGAUUUGCUAUGUUUUAUGUUAUGUUUGUAGUAUGUAGCCAAGGCCAUGAAUUGGCUAUAUUAUGCAGUCAAGGUCAGAAACACUGAUUCAAUGCAUAUACUCAAGGACAUAAACACUUGCUUGGGAGUAUACCCUCACUAAUGUAACCUGUUGGCAGUGUGCCAUCUUUAUUUGGCCUGCAUAUAAAAAGGGCCUAUGGGAAAGACUUGUGGGCUAAUAGGGGACAAAAUGGAUCUGACUGGGGACUAAAGCUUGAGACUGUUGCCACCUCUGAAUAAAGCAUUUCACUAUCCUGUAUCUUACAUCUUAUACCACCUGCUGAGCCCUGAACCUUCUUUCCUGGGUCUACCCCUACCCCCCAACAUGACACUUGUGAUUUGCUGGAGUUUAUCAUGUGUGCUAUUUGGAUAUAAAAUGCUCUCCCAUUUUGUUGUAUUUAUUCUCCCACUGCGUUAUUUGGCUAUUAAAUCUAUCACUUUUAUCCUUUGCUGAAGAAAACUCAUAUUUGUGUAUAAUAAAAAUCCAUUAUUUCUUUGCUUUAUGAUUUCUUACCUACAAAUAAACAGAUAUAUUUUCUACAUUUAAUUCUAUUUAGAGAGGAUCUAUAGUGGUAGAGAUCUCAUUUCAUACUGAAAAAGUUCUGGAGAAAAUGAGGAGAGAACUACUUAGGUAUGGUGCUCUUAAUAGCCCUUUGAUUCAACUUCUUUUCAGGUUAAAAAAUAAAAAAACUGUAUUUUUCUGAUUUUCUUGCAGGUAGCACCUUAGAAAUUAGCUUCCAUUAAUUAAAUGUAUUUGUGUGAAAUUUUAAAGGUGGGAGUUGGAGGUUCUCCCCCUCCAGUGUAAUCAGAAUCACCUGAGGGCUUGUUAAAACAAAUUGCUGGACUCUACCCAGUAAUUCAGUAGGUGUGGAGUAGCAUCUGAAGAUCUGCAUUUCUAUCAUAUUUCUGGGUGAUGCUUAUUCCAGGAUUCUGUCAUUUAUAUUCCAGUGUCAUGUUGUGAGAAGUAUUCUUCAUGGUUGCUGCAGUGAUAGAGGAAGCUGGAGCUUCCUGACUUCUAGGUCAUAUCUACCUAGAUAUGGAAUCACUCUGGGGGCUCCCUCACACCUUCUCUAGUGACUCAAAAGCUAUGAGCAUGUAAUUCUAUGCAUUGAUUCCCUUUCUGCCUGAGACAACUAUUUAUUACCAUUUCCCAUAUUAAACCACUAUUUUUUUUUACAAUUGUAUAUCCAAAAUUGUUCUAAAUGACAAAGAGGACGCCCAUAAAUCCUUUACCCCAUCUUGGUUAAAACAAGUAUCUUUGAUACUAUUAUAAGCACUUAGGGAAUGAACCAUGUCUCAUGGCAAUUGGAUUCACUGAGUGAGGUUGGCUGUAGAUCAAUGGUUUAGGCAGCAAAACAGAGUUUACAGCAAUGUGUGUCCUAGAGUGGCCAGCCAAUCUGGUUUAUGUGGGACUAAGGAUUUUCCCAGGAUGUGGGGCUUCCACUGUUAAAACUGAGAGAGUCAUUCUGGUGUAAUAUUUUGCUAACUUGAAGAUGUUGCAAAUAAAGACAAAGAGGUUUAGACAGGUUACAAAAGGAGGGGUGUUGAGAAAUUAUUAUCUGGAGGCAUUUGAAAUUGGAAGAACAUAGAUAGGGGAGUCUUAGUAGACUAUUGAAAGGGACUAUCAGCUUAAACUGAAGGGGACAAUGUGUGAGAGCCCGGAGUGCAGGCUCUCUAGUCACUGAGGCUGAAGUCUGACUUAUGUUACUUAUCAUCUGUGGGACCUCAAGCAGGUUACUAAACCAAGUUUCUAUAUCUAUAUAGUAAGGCCACCACAGUAUGUAUCUGUGAUAAGAUGCCAUUGAAACAGAACAGAAAGCACUGAGAAGAUUUGCAUGGCCGAGAGUAAGCACCAAAACAUGCUAAUGGUGGUAUUAUUAUUGUUGCUGCUACUAAAAAAAUUACAUAAAGGAAUCAGAAAUUCUUGGGUAGAAAUAUUAUAGAGGAGUAGAAGAGAGGAAAGGGAGCAAUCUGGAUUAGAAAAUGACUGAGUAUCACUAGUUGGUCCCUUUAAAUUCAAUUCUCUUUACCUUAAAUGUUCUCAGGUGCCCCAAAGGAAUUGAAUAAUAUUUUCUAUGUUGAAUGUAGUAAGAUCAUGAGUGACUCUCACACUCAAUAUUGGAAAUUUAAUUUUUGUUAACUUAGAAUUAAUGAAAAUAAUGUUUAAUGAAGGGCUCAAGGUAGAGCAAAUGGAUCUCACAAGAAAGAAUAUGAACUUGAAAAUUGGAUAAUUUCAAACAAAACGAGAGAAGAGAGGAAGGGAAGAAAUGGAAAGAAGGAGAGAAGGCACUCUCUCAACCACAUUGAGAAGUGAUUGUUUCCCAUCUCAAUUGGGUAGGCNNNNNNNNNNNNNNNNNNNNNNNNNNNNNNAGAAAGAAUAUGAACUUGAAAAUUGGAUAAUUUCAAACAAAACGAGAGAAGAGAGGAAGGGAAGAAAUGGAAAGAAGGAGAGAAGGCACUCUCUCAACCACAUAGAGAAGUGAUUGUUUCCCAUCUCAAUUGGGUAGGCAUGCAGAGGGCAUCCUUCUGAUAUUUAUAACAACUUGUUUUUAUAUUGAGAAGAACAGUUACAUUGCAUCAAAAGAGUUUCCUCCUCAGUGUCUUCUGCAGGGCAGCCUUUACCUCCUUGUUCCUCAGGCUGUAGAUCAGAGGGUUGAGCANGCCAUUUCUCUGGGUGGGAGGCCUUUGAGGAUGGUAAAGAAGAACCUGUGAGAGGCUGCCUCUGCACAGCCUGGGGAAGCUUGUUUUCUGCAUUUGGUGUCUGUUGAGCCAUCCUGUCUGUGGCCUAUAUAACUUCCCCUCACUCCUGCUGUUUGGUGAGUGAAGGGACAGCUCCUGAGUAUUUCAGAGAUCUUGAAGAUGAGAGGAAAGGGACCAAGAUCUGUUAUCUGUUUACCUGUUUCUCAAAUAUUUAGAACUCUGGUUCUCAAAGUGUCAUCCCUGGGGGUUGGGGUUGUGGCUCAGCAGUAGAGUGCUUGCCUAACAUGGUGUGAGGCCCUGGACUUGAUCCUCAGCACCAUAUAAAUAAAUAAAUAAAUAAAUAAAUAAAUAAAUAAAUAAAUAAAUAAAAUAAAAUUAUUAUGUCCAAUUACAACUAAAAAUAAAUAAAUAAAUAAAAAGUGUCAUUCCUGGACCAUCAACUUCACCUUCUCCUGAAACUUAUAGAGAUGCAAAUUCUCAGCUUUCAUUCCAGAGAUAUUAAAUCAGGAACUCUGAAAGCUGCUGGACAAUUUAUGUUCAACUAUCUCUCUAGGGACAUUCCUGCACACUGAAGUUUGAGAAUCUCCACCCCAUAUGCAAUAAAUUGCAUAUUUCAAAUUUUCCAUGUGCAGAUGGAAUUUACUUCAGAAGUGAAAUUUCACUAUCAUUUAUGCAAUUCCUAAACAGUCAUGAAUAGAUAAAUGAAUGUUCUCUGAACUCAAUACAAAGUCAGUCAGGGUGAUAUGGUAGUUAUACGUGUAUUAUUGAAUUACUUAAUCAAUUUCUCUGAAAGAUGAAGAAAGUAGCAAAAUCAAAUCCAAAGGUGACUUUAUUGAAAAGAACAUGGGAUAAUGUGUUUGGAAAUCUUAUUUUAAAUACUUGGUUCCUAUAAGAUUGUGAGUUGUUUUAAGUGUGUGGAAUUUGUUCAUAGACACCAGACCCAAGAUCCUAAGGCUAUAGUUCUCAAGACAUCUAAAACAUUUAAAGGUAUUAAUACUUGCUAUCCACAGAAGUUAUGAUAUAAUUGAACUGUGCUUCAUUUUUGGCACUGGCAUAUUGUAUUGCCAUAGUAAGUGCUUUAUAGUUUAUUACUAUUUAUAUUUAUAAUAUCAAAACGUAUCAGUGUUACAUCCCAAAUAGGAAAGUGGUCAAACUGUAGACAUGUCUUUAGGAAGCAUGGAUCAUAAUUUAUGUAUACAGCAUCUUUUUUUUUUCUUUUUAUCAAUUUCAUUGGCCUUGAAGGUUUUUUUUUCAUUUGUUCUUUUUAGGUAUACAUGACAAUAGAUGUGUUUUUUUUUUUUUUGGUUGAAAAACUUAAAUUCUCACUAUUUAUUUUUUCUGAUAUAAUCAUUACCUUUUGUAUAAUGCUCUAUAGUUUACACGUUUCUUUCAAAGGUCAAUGUCAUUAAGUCCUAAAAGUUUUGGGUAAGGGCAAAUGUGUUUAGUAAAGGAUAUUUCCUGCCAUUUCUAUAUUGAGAAGACAAUAUAAAAUUCAGGUCAGAUACUGACUUGCUCAAGGCCUACUAGUUAUUGAUGACUUGAAAUCAAAAAUGUACUCAUGUUCUUUCUUGCUCAUGAGCUUCUUCCCUUUCCUCCCACAGGUCGUUUUCUGAAUCUACACACCUGAGCUCUAAGAAAAAUGUGAUUGUGACAUGCUUUACAUUCAAUAUCUUCACAUGUGCCUACUGCAGAGAAAAAGAAGAAUGCUCUAAUACAAUUUUUCAUUCUUUAGAAAACAUAAGCUCCACAAAUUAAAUAAAUUACCCAGGGUAACCCAGCUAGUAAGAGGCAGAAGUAGGUGUAAAAUGUAGGACUUUUGACUACCAGUAUGUUUUGUCCCCACUAAUCUAUAUUGUUUUGUUGUUGCUUAUCUUUGUGUUAUCACUUUCUUAUUAGUAGUAAAAUUAAUUAAGUUUUGUAGAUAGAGGAGAGAUCGUAUUAUAAAUUUCAGAUUUUUAUAUUUUUAAAAAUUAUAUAUGUAGAAAUGCAAAUAAGCAAAAACAAAACAAAACCCUCAAAUACCAGAAAAUGAACAAAGCAAACACCAUUUACCUGCUGCUUGGUAUCUUAACACUGUAUAUAUUUGGAAUCUUCCUCUAUAUUUUUAUAUACAUAGACAAAUUUACAUAUGCAUAAAUGUAUAUGUACUUUUACAAAAAUAUUGUGUAACUUUUAAUUUAUUACAUAGGAUUUUAAAAUCAUUGUCUCAUUUUAUUUUUUUAACAACACUAUCUGGUACUACUUAGUGUAAGAGUCUUAAAGUCCCUAGGAUGUGAUCUGGAGACAAGAAAAUCUUCAUUGGAUUGCAAGUUUUUUAUGUUACAUUGUGGAUGGCAGAGGUAUUUAACUUUAAUAAUAACUAAUAUUGGAGGUAGCUAGGAUUUAUUGAAUAUUAUUUUCAUUUAUUACAGGGAAGGAAAUUAUUUUCUAGAUUAAAAAAAUAGACUAAGAAGAUCCUACUAUUCCCUUUGACCCAUCCUCUGCUCUAAAUGAUAAUAGAGAAAAUACUCUUUGAAUAACAAUAGAUCAAAGUGGUUCACAACAGAACAGAGUGUAUACCAUUUAAUGAGUGCAGCACAAAUCAGAAUACCAUUAAAUAGGAGAAUUCUUGAGAACAUGGAUUUAAAUUUUCCCUCCCAUAAUCUUCUGGUAAAAUAAACUAAAUGAAUG
rnacentral:lncRNA from 1 species